rnacentral:rRNA from 1 species
UACGAAGGGGGCUAGCGUUGCUCGGAAUGACUGGGCGUAAAGGGCGCGUAGGCGGAUGGCACAGUCAGAUGUGAAAUUCCCGGGCUUAACCUGGGGGCUGCAUUUGAUACGUGUUGUCUUGAGUUCGGAAGAGGGUCGUGGAAUUCCCAGUGUAGAGGUGAAAUUCGUAGAUAUUGGGAAGAACACCGGUGGCGAAGGCGGCGACCUGGUCCGACACUGACGCUGAGGCGCGAAAGCGUGGGGAACAAACGGG